rnacentral:rRNA from 1 species
CCUACGGGUGGCAGCAGUGAGGGAUAUUGGUCAAUGGGGGAAACCCUGAACCAGCAACGCCGCGUGAGGGAAGACGGUUUUCGGAUUGUAAACCUCUGUCCUCUGUGAAGAUAAUGACGGUAGCCGAGGAGGAAGCUCCGGGUAAAUACGUGCCAGCAGCCGGGGUAAUAUGUAGGGAGCAAGCGUUGUCCGGCUUUACUGGGUGUAAAGGGGGCGUAGGCGGCCCUGCAAGUCAGAAGUGAAAUCCAUGGGCUUAACCCGUGAACUGCUUUUGAAACUGGAGGGCUUGAGUGAAGUAGGGGCAGGCGGAAUGGGCGGUGUAGCGGUGAAAUGCGUAGAGAUCGGGAGGAACACCGGUGGCGAAGGUGGCCUGCUGGGCCUUAACUGACGCUGAAGCACGAAAGCGUGGGUAGCAAACAGGAUUAGAUACCCCAGUAGUC